CAGCAGCCGCGGUAAUACAGAGGGUGCGAGCGUUAAUCGGAUUUACUGGGCGUAAAGCGUGCGUAGGCGGCUUCUUAAGUCGGAUGUGAAAUCCCUGAGCUUAACUUAGGAAUUGCAUUCGAUACUGGGAAGCUAGAGUAUGGGAGAGGAUGGUAGAAUUCCAGGUGUAGCGGUGAAAUGCGUAGAGAUCUGGAGGAAUACCGAUGGCGAAGGCAGCCAUCUGGCCUAAUACUGACGCUGAGGUACGAAAGCAUGGGGAGCAAACAGGAUUAGAUACCCCCGUAGUCCCUGUCUCUUAUCC
rnacentral:rRNA from 1 species